GCUAGGUAGAGUGGCAUGUACCUGUAGUCCCAGCUGCUCAGGAGGCUGAGGAUCUGUACAGCCCAGGGGUUUGAGGGGUUUUGAGGUUUUCAGGGGUUUGAGGCUAACCUGAGCAACAUAGAGAUCCUCAU
rnacentral:sRNA from 1 species